UAUGGCUGUCGUCAGCUCGUGUCGUGAGAUGUUCGGUUAAGUCCGGCAACGAGCGCAACCCACGUCCUUAGUUGCCAGCAGUUCGGCUGGGCACUCUAAGGAAACUGCCCGUGAUAAGCGGGAGGAAGGUGUGGAUGACGUCAAGUCCUCAUGGCCCUUACGGGUUGGGCUACACACGUGCUACAAUGGUAGUGACAAUGGGUUAAUCCCAAAAAGCUAUCUCAGUUCGGAUUGUCGUCUGCAACUCGACGGCAUGAAGUCGGAGUCGCUAGUAAUCGCGUAACAGCAUGACGCGGUGAAUACGUUCCCGGGCCUUGUACACACCGCCCGUGGGGCGGGGGCGGCGGGCCGGGCGCGGGGCGCGGCGGGCG
rnacentral:rRNA from 1 species